AGGAGAGUUUGAUCCUGGCUCAGGAUGAACGCUAGCGGCAGGCUUAACACAUGCAAGUCGAGGGGCAGCGCGGGGUAGCAAUACUCUGGCGGCGACCGGCGGAAGGGUGCGUAACGCGUGAGCAACAUGCCCGUAUCAGGGGGAUAACCGAUGGAAACGUCGCCUAAUACCCCAUAACACUAUGGAGGACAUCCUCUGGAGUUGAAAGUUACGGCGGAUACGGAUUGGCUCGCGUGACAUUAGCUGGUUGGCGGGGUAACGGCCCACCAAGGCGACGAUGUCUAGGGGUUCUGAGAGGAAGGUCCCCCACACUGGAACUGAGACACGGUCCAGACUCCUACGGGAGGCAGCAGUGAGGAAUAUUGGUCAAUGGGCGGAAGCCUGAACCAGCCAUGCCGCGUGAUGGAAGGAGGCCCUAUGGGUCGUAAACAUCUUUUGUGCGGGAGCAAUAAGGUCUACGUGUAGACCGAUGAGAGUACCGUACGAAUAAGCAUCGGCUAACUCCGUGCCAGCAGCCGCGGUAAUACGGAGGAUGCAAGCGUUAUCCGGAUUUAUUGGGUUUAAAGGGUGCGUAGGCUGUUUUCCAAGUCAGCGGUGAAAUGCCGGGGCUUAACCCCGGAACUGCCAUUGAUACUGGGAGGCUUGAAUGCGGAUGCCGUGGGAGGAAUGAGUAGUGUAGCGGUGAAAUGCAUAGAUAUUACUCAGAACACCGAUUGCGAAGGCAUCUCACGAAUCCGCUAUUGACGCUGAGGCACGAAAGCGUGGGGAUCAAACAGGAUUAGAUACCCUGGUAGUCCCCU
rnacentral:rRNA from 1 species